rnacentral:misc_RNA from 1 species
CAGAGUUUUUAACUCCCAAACCCAACCGUGCUCUAAAACUUUUCUACUUGCUGCGGCGGGCCGCUCGCUGGGGGAGCCUGCGGCCUGUAAAGGUGGCCCGCCGAAGCAAACUUAUACUACCUUUUUGAAAGCUUAUAAAAAUACUUUCUAUAAAGAAAAUCA